rnacentral:rRNA from 1 species
AGAGUUUGAUCCUGGCUCAGGACGAACGCUGGCGGCGUGCCUAACACAUGCUAGUCGAGCGAGGACGGGUCUUCGGACUCGAGCCGAGCGGCGGACGGGUGAGUAACACGUGAGCAACCUGCCCCUGUGCGGGGGAUAACCCGGGGAAACUCGGGCUAAUACCGCAUGGUCGGCCCUGCCGCAUGGUGGGGCUGGGAAAGGCGGCCUCUCAUGGAAGCUGCCGUGCAGGGAGGGGCUCGCGGCCUAUCAGCUGGUUGGUGGGGUAACGGCCUACCAAGGCGACGACGGGUAGCGGGUCUGAGAGGACGACCCGCCACAUUGGGACUGAGACACGGCCCAGACUCCUACGGGAGGCAGCAGUGGGGAAUAUUGCACAAUGGGGGAAACCCUGAUGCAGCGACGCCGCGUGAGUGAAGAAGUACUUCGGUACAUAAAGCUCUAUCAGCAGGGAAGAAGAU